UAUUAAGUAUUGUGCAAUAGCAAGUCUUUUCAAUUGCACAGUAUUGCGCAAUGGCAAGAAAUAUUUCAUUGCACAAUAUUGUGAAAUAGCAAAUUUUUUUAAUUAGAGUUAUCUUUCAUUUGUCCGAAUAGUAAGCAAGAAAUAUCUAAUUGCAAAAUAUUGUGCAAUAGAAAGAUUUUUUUUUAAUUGGAGUUAUCUUUCUUUGUCCAGAAUCAACUUAAAUCUUUGUUAUAUACAAUAUACAAUGUAUAUUCACUUUUUACUAC
rnacentral:lncRNA from 1 species